GAUGAGCGCUAGCGACAGGCUUAACACAUGCAAGUCGAGGGGCAGCAUAGAAGUAGCAAUACUUUGGUGGCGACCGGCGCACGGGUGAGUAACGCGUAUGCAACCUACCUAUCAGAGGGGGAUAACCCGGCGAAAGUCGGACUAAUACCGCAUAAAACAGGGGCACCGCAUGGUGAUAUUUGUUAAAGAUUAAUUGCUGAUAGAUGGGCAUGCGUUCCAUUAGGUAGUUGGUGAGGUAAUGGCUCACCAAGCCGACGAUGGAUAGGGGAACUGAGAGGUUGGUCCCCCACACUGGUACUGGGAAACGGACCGGACUCCUACGGGAGGCAGCAGGGAGGAAUAUUGGUCAAUGGGCGAGAGCCUGAACCAGCCAAGUCGCGUGAAGGAAGAAGGAUCUAUGGUUCGUAAACUUCUUUUGCAGGGGGAUAAAGUGGAGGACGUGUCCUCUUUUGUAUGUACCCUGAGAAUAAGGAUCGGCUAACUCCGUGCCAGCAGCCGCCGUAACAC
rnacentral:rRNA from 1 species